AGUGAACGCUGGCGGCGUGCUUAACACAUGCAAGUCGAACGAGAACGGGUUAUAGCUUGCUAUAAUUGUCAGCUAAGUGGCGCACGGGUGAGUAAUGUAUAGGUAAUAUGCCUCUUACUAAGGGAUAACAAAUGGAAACGUUUGCUAAUACCUUAUACUCCUUAUUAACAGAAGUUAAUAAGGGAAAGAUUUAUUGGUAAGAGAUUAGCCUGUAUUGUAUCAGUUAGUUGGUGGGGUAAUGGCCUACCAAGACUAUGACACAUAACUGGUUUGAGAGGAUGAUCAGUCACACUGGAACUGAGACACGGUCCAGACUCCUACGGGAGGCAGCAGUGGGGAAUAUUGCACAAUGGACGAAAGUCUGAUGCAGCAACGCCGCGUGGAGGAUGACACAUUUCGGUGCGUAAACUCCUUUUAUAUGAGAAGAUAAUGACGGAAUUAUAUGAAUAAGCACCGGCUAACUCCGUGCCAGCAGCCGCCGUAA
rnacentral:rRNA from 1 species